rnacentral:lncRNA from 1 species
AUGUUGGCUCCAGAGAGAUCAAAUGGUUUUGGCACCUGAGGAGGUUUGAGCCAAGCUGUGAAACCAGGACCUCCCUGGGUGGAGAACACGGUGGUCUCCACAUGGCUUCACCAGGCGUCUGUGUGAAGUUGCCCCAGGCAGGGCAGGGGAAUGACCACAGGAGCAUGCUGGGAGCUUCACUCAGCAGUGAGGGCACAGUGAUGGAGCAAGUAGUUGAACACCUGGAGAACUGUGAGUGUUCUCCUUCAGGGAAAAGUUCUGAUCCAUUUCACAAACACCUGAAAAUGAACUUUUCCCGCAAUUCCAGGUAGCAUGGCGUAGGUAAGGGAAAGGAAUAGUAAACCAGGAGACCCGAGUUCCAGCUUUACUUUGCCACGUGGCCUCAGAUCAGCCACCAAACAUCCCUGAAUCGUCAUACGAUAAAGGGUGUCUACACUCGGAGCUCUGAACCCUCUGGCAUAAGAGGCUUUUCUCUUUUUUUCCCUGCAUUUGGGUGAUUCUUUAGGAAAUUUAGGACUGAAUGAACUGACACCUAAAGCUUCCAAAUGAAUCUGUAAGCUUGAGAAAUUUGGUGUGUGUUGGGGUGUGCGUGUUCUUCCUCUCUUCUACAUAGAAUUCUGGAAAAUUGUGCCUCUUCCUGGAAUCCUGUUCUACCUUCACAGCCAGAGACUGGAAGAAAUCUACAGAAAUAGCCCUAAGUGCAACCCUGGCUUCCCCUCUUGAGUUUAUUUGCUCUUGGCAAAGGUGGCUUCAGUUCCCUAGUACUUCAUCCCGUUUUCACAAGGAGCCGCCUGUCCUUAGAGGUUUACAGACACUUCAGUUCGCAAGAUACUACAUUUUUGCCAGAAAUAGAGCCAGGGUAAUAAGAGAGAUUUUCCCGGAAUCCCUAUGAGAUAUUGAGCCUUUCAGAAUUUUUCCUGGGUGGGCAGCUGCUUUAAAUGCCAUCUGAUUCUCAGAUCAGUCACGGGAUUGCUUUUUCAUUUGGGUAGCACCGCAUUUUAAGGUAUUCCUUUGACACCUCUUCUUUCAUUUAGGAAGUAAAAUGUUCGCUAAGGUAAUGAUGUAAGUAUGGCUGUCCCAUGGCAUGAGAGGUAUGGAGAUAGCAAACGGAAACAUAUUGACUGUUCAGGAAAGAUGUCAGUUCUCGUCAUCCUUUUCGGUAUUGGGAUCUGUGAAUUUUGUUAAUCUCAAGUAAAUUCCCUUCUGCUCUCCUGACUCAGAAAUGGUUUGUUUGAAAUACAAGUAUUAAACAACAUUAGAUACAAGUAUUAAACAAAAAUAUUCUUCCUUUAUAGAGCUUGCUCCAUGGGAAGGCCCAGGGUGAUUUGUGGAUGGAGAUGCUAGUGACCUUUUUUCCUCUUUGCCAAUUAGCUGCUUUUCCUUUCAUUUUACAGGGCGCCAUGUUUAGUUGGGCAGUUAAGUAGCUGCCAUUGGGAUUCUUGUGGAUAUGCCUCGGCCUCUUGGUAUAUCAGGUGGGAACCCGUUACAAGUGAAAUACUUGAAAAUUCUCUGGGGCCAAGAGCCUCUGACACCACUCUGAAGGGGUGAGAGGUGGACUAAUUUUGUGACCAGACUGGGGCACCAUUUUGGCCACUGGUCGCAUUCCUCGCUUCAAACUGAAAUUCAGUUUGGCUUCAAGUAUAGGGAUACAUGGUGGUGGAUACAUCUACUUCAGUGUUUGUUUUGAUCAAAAGUUUAUUUUUCUAGUGCAUUUUCUAAGUCAAAAUGGUGAAAACAUGUAAUUUUAGUAUGCAUGACUGGGUCUUAAAUAAAAAUCUCUGUAAGGUUG